rnacentral:rRNA from 1 species
CCAAUAGCGUAUAUUAAAGUUGUUGCAGUUAAAAAGCUCGUAGUUGAAUUUCGGGAUCAGUACGCUGGUCGUGCCUUCGGUAUGUACUGGUGUUACUGGUUCCUACCUUCUGACGAACCGUCAUGUCAUUAAUUUGGUGUGGCGGGGAAUCAGGACUGUUACUUUGAAAAAAUUAGAGUGCUUAAAGCAGGCUCGCGCUUGAAUACAUUAGCAUGGAAUAAUGAAAUAGGACGUUCGAUCCUAUUUUGUUGGUUUCUAGGAUUGACGUAAUGAUUAAUAGGGAUAGUUGGGGGCAUUAGUAUUCAAUUGUCAGAGGUGAAAUUCUUGGAUUUAUUGAAGACUAACUACUGCGAAAGCAUUUGCCAAGGAUGUUUUCAUUAAUCAAGAACGAAAGUUAGGGGAUCGAAGACGAUCAGAUACCGUCGUAGUCUUAACCAUAAACUAUGCCGACUAGGGAUCGGAUGAUGUUAAUUUUUUAAUGACUCAUUCGGCGCCUUAC